UACAGAGGGUGCAAGCGUUGUUCGGAAUUAUUGGGCGUAAAGAGCGCGCAGGCGGUCGAUCAAGUCGAGUGUGAAAGCCCCCGGCUCAACUGGGGAGGGUCAUUCGAUACUGAUCGACUCGAAGGCAGGAGAGGGUAGUGGAAUUCCCGGUGUAGUGGUGAAAUGCGCAGAUAUCAGGAGGAACACCGGUGGCGAAGGCGGUUCUCUGGGCAUGUCCUGACGCUGAGGAGCGAAAGUGUGGGGAGCGAACAGG
rnacentral:rRNA from 1 species